CAGCGCCACGAGUGGCAAUCACGUUUAUUGGGCCUAAAGCGUCCGUAGCCGGUUUGUUAAGUCUUUUGUGAAAUCGUUGCGCUUAACGUAACGCUGUGCAAGAGAGACUGGCAGACUUGGAACCGGGAAGGGUCAGAGGUAUUCUAGGGGGAGCGGUAAAAUGCUAUAAUCCCUGGAGGACCACCUGUGGCGAAGGCGUCUGACUAGAACGGAUUCGACGGUGAGGGACGAAAGCUAGGGGAGCAAUCCGGAUUAGAUACCCGAGUAGUCC
rnacentral:rRNA from 1 species